rnacentral:rRNA from 1 species
AUGGCGGCGGCGGCGCCGUGCACCUCGCGGAGGUCGUUCAGGGACUCGCUCAAGGUGCUGGAGGCCGACAUCCAGCACGCCAACACCCUGGCGUCGGACUUCUCGCCGGACUACGACGGGGCGGCGUGCCCGCAGAUGCGCAUCUCGUACAGCCCCGCCGCGCACAUCUUCCUCUUCCUCCCGCAGCGGGCCGACUGCAGCGUCGCCGCGCGCUCGGCCUCCUCAGGAUCCCCAUCUAGUACAAGGUUUAUGUGGACGGCACCACAGCCAUUUGUCCACCCACGAAAGGAAAGCCAGCACCAAGGAAUUCUUUCUACGGUAACUAAACAAACGUCCUGCAGAAAUUGA